UGGGGAAUAUUGCACAAUGGGCGAAAGCCUGAUGCAGCAACGCCGCGUGAGUGAUGAAGGCCUUCGGGUUGUAAAGCUCUGUCUUUUGGGACGAUAAUGACGGUACCAAAGGAGGAAGCCACGGCUAACUACGUGCCAGCAGCCGCGGUAAUACGUAGGUGGCAAGCGUUGUCCGGAUUUACUGGGCGUAAAGGAUGCGUAGGCGGAUUUUUAAGUGAGAUGUGAAAACCCUAAGCUUAACUUGGGGACUGCAUUUCAUACUGGAAAUCUAGAGUGCGGGAGAGGAGAAUGGAAUUCCUAGUGUAGCGGUGAAAUGCGUAGAGAUUAGGAAGAACACCAGUGGCGAAGGCGAUUCUCUGGACCGUAACUGACGCUGAGGCAUGAAAGCGUGGGUAGCAAACAGGAUUAGAUACCCUGGUAGUCCACGCCGUAAACGAUGAGUACUAGGUGUAGGAGGUAUCGACCCCUUCUGUGCCGCGGUUAACACAAUAAGUACUCCGCCUGGGAAGUACGAUCGCAAGAUUAAAACUCAAAUGAAUUGACGGGGUCAUAGCUGUUUCCU
rnacentral:rRNA from 1 species